UACAACAUUUGCUUGCUCUGUGCAAACUCAAACCCACUGCUGCUGUCAGCAAACGAGGGUGUGACUGAGCAAUUAUCCUGGGCUCCCCGUGAAAAUGCCGCAACAAAGAGAAUCAACAGUGGAAAAUUAAGAACAAUGCCAGAAUCUCACUUGGACUGGUAAUAAAACAAGAUCAUUCCUACACCCCUGGUUCUCCUGAGACGAUAUGGUUUAAAUCAGCUCACAAACAUCUGGUCUGAGGACAGUUUCUUCCAGCAAGGAUUCUGGAAGUGACUUCGGCCAAGGAAGAGGUUUGGUGUUUGAUGUUCACAGUCACGCAUAUCAUGGAUCCAUAACAAUGACGAAUUGCACUCAGGCUGAUUCAACAGCAAGCAAGAGGAAAAAAGUUGACAGUUUGUUUGAAAUGGCACAUUACAAAAACUAUAAAAGGACCAGGUCCAUAUGCUACACGGUGUAAACACGGAGCAAUGUUUGUAAUUAUUUUGCUUGGGAAUAAUGACAUAGCAGGCAAGAAAUCUAGAGCAUGGUGUGUUGCCAUGUUUUCUUUCUUGCUUCUCUUUGAGGUCCUUGUCUCUGUGCCUUGAUUGCAGUCGAGGAACUCAGAAAGGGCUGUGUGAGGACGAACCGCUGGCCAACAUCUGGAGGUGCAUUUAAUGAUCAUUAAAAGCGUGACGGGAUAUUUACUGAAUGGGAGGAAAAGAGUGGGAAGCUGCAGAAGGCACGGAAUGGCUCGGUAA